GCUGGGUUUCCUAAUACUUCGUUCGUGUCUCGAGUAACAGAAAAUAUCUAAACCGAAAGAAACUUCGUUGGUGGAGCUUCUGGGAUGAUGUACGUGCUUUGCUACAAUACCUUGAAUACGCAGUGAAGUCAGACUAUUGCCUUUUUCUGAAGACAAAGAUUUUUCCUUGCUUUUAUUCCGGUUGAUGGCAACCAAGAACAUUCCAAGUUGCUAUAUAAGCCAGUUGCAGGUCGAGGUCUCUGUCAGAAAGCCUUGAGAAGUUCAUUGCCAAGGAUAUAGGUCAGGCUCAUGAAGAAAAGAUUCACCAUGAAGCAGAAAAUGAUUUCCGUUCUUCUCGCACUCAUGGCGGCGAUCAUUGCCUUGGAAAUGUCCGAUGCAAUGCCUGGACCUGUCCCCUACGCUUUAGCGGUGGCAAACCCCGAUCCGCUGGCAGAUCCUUCCCCGGCACCCGAUGCAGCUCCUGACCCUAUCUUUUGGGGCCGGCGUAGAAGACGAUGGGGCUGGGGACGACGCCGAUGGGGCUGGCGACGAGGAGGAUGGGGCUGUUGUGGCUGAGUGAUCGUCAAGAAACGAGAGUAAGUGAGGCGUUGGGUUGUGACGGAAAGCGUCUGAAUCUUGUUGACCAUACAGGUCUCGUUUGUGUUUUUUCUCGAGUAAACUGAUACAGUUAU